GACGAACGCUGGCGGCGUGCUUAACACAUGCAAGUCGAACGCGCCUGUCCUCUGGGUUUCUGGGGGGUGGGUGAGUGGCGAACGGGUGAGUAACACGUGAGUAACCUGCCCCCUUCUUCGGGAUAACGGUCUGAAAGGGCUGCUAAUACCGGGUAUUCACUGGUCUCCGCAUGGGGUCUGGUGGAAAGGUUUUUUUCUGGUGGGGGAUGGGCUCGCGGCCUAUCAGCUUGUUGGUGGGGGGAUGGCCCACCCAGGCUUUGACGGGUAGCCGGCCUGAGAGGGUGAACGGUCACAUUGGGACUGAGAUACGGCCCAGACUAGUACGGGGGGCAGCAGUGGGGACUAUUGCACAAUGGGCGCAAGACUGAUGCAGCGAGGGCGAGUGAGGGAUGGAGGCCGUCGGGUUGUGAACCUCUUUCGCAAGUGGUCAAGCCGCGACGUGGGUCGUGGUGAGGGUAGUGGGUAAAGAAGCGCCGGCUAACUACGUG
rnacentral:rRNA from 1 species